rnacentral:snoRNA from 1 species
UGCAUCUAUAAUGAAAAUUUGGCCCCUUUGACUGAAACAAGUGAAGUGCCUAAAUUGUUACCCAAUUUUUUCUGAGAUGUA